AUACGGAGGGUGCGAGCGUUAUCCGGAUUUAUUAGGUUUAAAGGGUGUGUAGGCGGGAGCCUAAGUCAGUGGUGAAAUCUCACAGCUUAACUGUGAAACUACCAUUGAAACUGGGUUUCUUGAGUAUAGUUGAGGUAGGCGGAGUGUGUAAUGUAGCGGUGAAAUGCAUAGAUAUUACACAGAACACCGAUUGCGAAGGCAGCUUACUAAGCUAUUACUGACGCUGAUGCACGAAAGCGUGGGUAGCGAACAGGAUUAGAAACCCCGGUAGUCC
rnacentral:rRNA from 1 species